rnacentral:sRNA from 1 species
GCCAGGUGUGGUGGCUCACGCCUGUAAUCCCAGUAACUUUGGGAGGCUGAGGCAGGUGGAUCAUUCGAGGUCAGGAGUUCGAGACCAGCCUGACCAACAUAAUGAAACCCUAUCUCUACUGAAAAUACAAGGAUUAGCCAGACGUGGUGGUGGGCGUCUGUAGUCCAGCUACUUGAGAGGCUGAGGCAGGAGAAUCACUUGAACCACCACGCCCAACCUAAUUUUUUUGUUGUUGUUGUUGUUAGUAGAGGCAGGGUUUCACCAUGUUGGCCAGGCUCAUCUUGAACUCCUGACCUCAAGUGAUCCACCUGCCUCA